rnacentral:rRNA from 1 species
UACGAAGGGGGCUAGCGUUGCUCGGAAUCACUGGGCGUAAAGCGCACGUAGGCGGUUUGUUAAGUCAGUGGUGAAAUCCUGGAGCUCAACUCCAGAACUGCCUUUGAUACUGGCGAUCUCGAGUCCGGGAGAGGUGAGUGGAACUGCGAGUGUAGAGGUGAAAUUCGUAGAUAUUCGCAAGAACACCAGUGGCGAAGGCGGCUCACUGGCCCGGUACUGACGCUGAGGUGCGAAAGCGUGGGGAGCAAACAGG